UAUAGUCCUCAGCUUAGCGCUCCUCGUCUCAAUUCUCUCGUGGUCUUCGAAAUCGAGCCUCUCCAACACAUAUCUUCUUGCAUGGCAAGGGAGGUACAUAUCCCCGUUCUCGUCAAGCUUCAUGCUGAAGAACCGAUCAUCUCGUAGGUGAGGCAUGUCGCACAUACCCCGAGAGUCGCCGCAAUAUUCACACUCGCAAU
rnacentral:lncRNA from 1 species